AGAAAAGUAUUUAAAAAAGAAAUAAAAUCUAAUUUGCAAUUAGAAAUUGAAGUUUUCCUUUUCUG
rnacentral:tRNA from 1 species